GAUGAACGCUGGCGGCGUGCUUAACACAUGCAAGUCGAACGGGAAUUACUUUAUUGAAACUUCGGUCGAUUUAAUUUAAUUCUAGUGGCGGACGGGUGAGUAACGCGUGGGUAACCUGCCUUAUACAGGGGGAUAACAGUCAGAAAUGGCUGCUAAUACCGCAUAAGCGCACAGAGCUGCAUGGCUCAGUGUGAAAAACUCCGGUGGUAUAAGAUGGACCCGCGUUGGAUUAGCUUGUUGGUGGGGUAACGGCCCACCAAGGCGACGAUCCAUAGCCGGCCUGAGAGGGUGAACGGCCACAUUGGGGCUGAGACACGGCCCAGACUCCUACGGGAGGCAGCAGUGGGGAAUAUUGCACAAUGGGGGAAACCCUGAUGCAGCGACGCCGCGUGAAGGAAGAAGUAUCUCGGUAUGUAAACUUCUAUCAGCAGGGAAGAUAGUGACGGU
rnacentral:rRNA from 1 species